AUGGUGAUCUUUGCGGGCCUAUCUCGCCGCCCACUCCGGGCGGCAAGCGUUACUUCCUGUUGCUUGUGGAUGAUCACAACAGAUUCAUGUGGUUGUACCUGCUCCGGAGCAAGGACGAGGCAGCCAAGGCGAUCCAGCGCUUCCAGGCACACGCAGAGUGCGAGACGGGGCGGAAGCUGCGCACUUUCCGCUCUGACCGAGGCGGGGAGUUCAACUCCGGCGAGUUCAGCGCACAUCUCGCUGAUCUUGGGGUCCAGAGGCGCCUCACCGCGCCACACUCUCCCCAACAGAAUGGCGUGGUGGAGAGGCGCAACCAAACCGUCAUCGGGACGGCUCGAUGCAUGCUCAAGGCGAUGGGAGUGCCGCCGCAAUUUUGGGGCGAGGCCGUGUCCACGGCCGCAUUCGUGCUCAAUAGGGCAUACUCCAGAAGCGUACCAGGCAAGACGCCGUUCGAGGCCUGGCAUGGCAGGAAGCCCUCCGUCGACUUCUUGCGUGUGUUCGGAAGUGUGGCGCACGUCAAGAACACGCGCCCACACCUCUCCAAGCUUGAGGACUGGAGCAAAGCCAUGGUGA
rnacentral:rRNA from 1 species